UUUAGUAGGAAAUAAAAGGACUUUUGAGUCAUUUCUUAUGAUUUUGGUUUUAAUCCAUGGAGGGGAUGACAUGUGUAGGCGUAUGUGGUUGCACCAUAUCCAUUCAUUUUAUAACAUAUAGUAUGCCUAGUGUUUUGUUCUUAGAAACCAUUUUGGCAAAACCCAAUUUUCGUGCAUCCUAUUUCCUUUCCAUAGUGAUACCUUUUAAGCUAAAUUUUGGAAGCUUUGUGUUGGGAUUUUGAUGGGGCUUUGUGAAGGAAAAAUGUUCCUUAGUGAGGGUUCUUUUGAUAUCAAACUUGAGUCCAUUUCUUUUGUUGUUGGGUUUGGAAAGUGGUGUUAAAAGAAGAGGGUUUUGGUUGCAAACAAAGAAGGAAAGUGUUCUUCACCUUCUAGUUGCUGAUUUUGAUCCAUUUUUGGUUUGGUUUUGAAUUGUUGAGCAAGUGUUCAAGCUUCCCUUGAGGUCAUAGCAUGGAUGGUGUGGAGGGUGUUCCUCCUCAGCUGUAGACAGAGUCGGGGCUGGUGUUGUUGUGUUAUAUUCCGCAUAAUAGACUGUGUUUUGUAUUAUAUUUCCUAGAAUUUUCCUGGCAUGUAAUAAAUUUUCUUUCAGACUUUAAAACUUUAAAGUUUUAAUAUUUGCAUCU